CAACUGCACUGUAGUAGCAAGUUCCUCCAUGGCUUUUGUACAUUUGCCAGUAGCUACUGAUGGAAAAUAGCAAGGUUUCUUUGGUUGGAAUUGGAUCAUCCUGCAAUCUGCAACAGCAUCUGGUGUUUGUUCGUGUGCUGUUCUCUUUUCCAUAGGAAGGUUAUAAGGUAUUUCUUUCCAAAUUGUCGAUUCAAUCUUCAACAAAAGAUUGAUAUGAUAAUUAAGAUAAUAAAUGAAAAUGAGGUGAAAAUUUUUGGGAGGGACCCUUUCAACUUUGUUGUAUGUAGAGACACUAACAUACUUGCACAUCAUGAUAUUAUUGAUCAAUAUGUCAUAUAUUUCGAUUCAAGCAAAUUAAUUGCAUGAAUAAGAUUGGUUAAUAAGUAUUCAUGAGUUCAGUUAUCAUAUACAUUUAAUUGCUUAUUACGAACUACAAAAAAAUUAUCAUGCAGAGGAGUCGUCACUUAAUUAUCGAAUCAAGCAAUAGUAUUGCCUGUCAUUUGAUUUUAAUUGCCAGAAGAAAGGAUAAAUACAAGUUAAUUUUACUUUCUUUGGUGAUAUUUAUUAACUUGUAAAUAGACUGCCUGCAGGGAUAAAAUUAAUUGUCAAUCAAUUACUCAAGAAUUACUUUAUAAUAUAUAUUAAAUGACUUAUUAUAGAUAGCACUAAAUCUUACAAUUAAUAAAAUGAACCGUAGAAAAUUUAAAAUGGAUCUGACGUCAUGCACAAAAAAUCCGAUAAUAUCAAUGUCGGACACGAAUUUUAGUUGGAUCCGACCCGAUAACAGCCCUCUCGAGGCUCUCUUAACUCUUCGGCUCGGGUCCAAACCUUCGCUUCGCAGCCGGCGGAAGGAGACCAGAAGGCAAUUGGCGCCGACGAUGGAUCCCAGGAUGUGGCACAAGGUCGCUGCAAUCUCCGGUGUUGCUGCUAUCGGUCUGGGGACUUACGGCGCUCAUGGUUUCAAGCCCAAGAACCCAUCUUACAAGGAGGUUUGGCGUACCGCCUCCCUCUACCACUUGGUCCAUACGGCCGCCCUAGUGGGAGCUCCCAUCGCCAAACGCCCCAACAUCUUUGGAGGGCUUCUAACUACCGGUAUCGUCGGGUUCUCGGGAACGUGCUACACGGCCGCUUAUCUUGAAGACAGAAAGAUCUCUUUUAUUGCACCAUAUGGUGGAUUUGCAAUUCUUGCUGCUUGGGCUAGCUUACUCUUCUGACACGCAAUGGAUCAUCAACAUUUGAGGUGUCAUAUUGCAUUGGAGCUAUUUGGGAAGUUUGUCCUCGGUUAUGUCAACGGAGCGACUGGAAGUGGCAGCAACAUCACCUGCAAGAAAGAACCAAUGAGUCAUUCCAAAAUGGAGAGGAUUGAAGACAUUUCCAAGUAGUCUUCUUCUAUUGCCACCCGUUUUUAUAGUGAGUCUUCUUCCUCUGCCCACCCAUCGUGCACAUAUCGAGGGAAGCUUCGAUGGCGGGCCAUCAUCAUUUCCUUACCGCCCUCGUGAUACUCGUCUCUCUACCAUACCGGACUUCCACCACCUUCGGUGGCUUCAGCGCGGGACUCUUCAGCCGAGACUAUAGUCUCUCCCCCCCCCCCCCCCCAACACGACCUAUGCGGAGAAGGAGGAAGCCCUCAUGCGUCGGUCGGAUGCGCGCCUACGGUACCUGGAUGCGCGCCUACGGUACUUGGAAGUGAGGCAUCGGUACACGCUUACUCUUCCGGUCAUCUUCGACACGGGCAGUGGAGUAACUUGGGUGUAAUCGACUCCUUGUGUGAAGUCUUACGAGCAGGAUUACCAGACGAAGUGCGUCAACGGCAGUUGUGUGUACGUCGUGGGCUACGCCGACAACUCCUACUCUAUCGGCAUGGUCGGCAUCAAGUGCUUCACCUUCACCAGCACCGAUGAUGACAACUCCUACUCUAUCGGCAUGGUCGGCAUCGAGUGCUUCACCUUCACCAGCACCGAUGAUGAUCUCGCUUUGGUGGAGAUGUCCUUCGACGUGGGGCUCCAAAACGACGGGACAUUCGACUUACUGCGUUCAGUUGCAUGACAUUACGAUGGGCAUCAAGAAGCUGCACAUUCAGCUGGGGACGUUCGACUUGAACCACGGCACAUUCCGCUGGGGACGUUCAACUUGAACUGCGGCGGCCUCAUUCUCGACACUAGCACUCCCUUGACGUGUCUUUAUAGGGAACCGUUCGAUAUGGUACACAAGGAGCUGGACAAGUAGGCGAAGUUGAAGCGCGUUGGCGGGUGGACUCGUCGACAAUGCUUCUACGGGAACCACGACCAUUUGGACGACGGGACGACGGUGCCAGUGCUCAGAUUCCAUUUCGAGGGGUUGGAAAUGAUCGUGCCACCCACGUAAUAUUUCACGGUAGAAGGCAAUUACGUUUGCUCCACCCUGAUUGCCAUCGACUCUAAACCCUCAGUGUACGGUUCCUACAUGAAACAAAACUUUGUUGUGGGAUA